rnacentral:rRNA from 1 species
AACGAACGCUGGCGGCAUGCCUAACACAUGCAAGUCGAACGAUUGCCUUCGGGUGAUAGUGGCGCACGGGUGCGUAACGCGUGGGAAUCUGCCCUUAGGUUCGGAAUAACAGCUGGAAACGGCUGCUAAUACCGGAUGAUAUCGCGAGAUCAAAGAUUUAUCGCCUGAGGAUGAGCCCGCGUUGGAUUAGGUAGUUGGUGGGGUAAAGGCCUACCAAGCCGACGAUCCAUAGCUGGUCUGAGAGGAUGAUCAGCCACACUGGGACUGAGACACGGCCCAGACUCCUACGGGAGGCAGCAGUGGGGAAUAUUGGACAAUGGGCGCAAGCCUGAUCCAGCAAUGCCGCGUGAGUGAUGAAGGCCCUAGGGUUGUAAAGCUCUUUUACCCGGGAAGAUAAUGACUGUACCGUGAGAAUAAGCCCCGGCUAACUCCGUG